AUGUAUUCGUUGAAGACAACAAAAGAAUUUUGUAUAACAUUGCACGAUUUCUCUCCAAACAUGCCCUCAUUUUCAUAGCCAAAUUUGCAUAAAAUGGCGGCGUCUUCAACUGGAUUCCUCUCUAAAGCAAGGACGGCCUUCCACUAAAGCCAAGAAAGUCUUCACCGACAUACAAAAAAAAAUUGAGAUCUAUGUUUGUGUGUGUGUGUGUGUGUAUGUGUAUGUUUUUAAGGUUUGUGUUGAGUUUGUAUCGUAUACUUUAUUAUGUGACUCUUGACUAAUUAUCUGAAUCAUCUCUGAUACUGAAGAUAUGGCCGACCAAUCGUUGUUUGAUGAGAAAAACGAUUCCCUUGAUGAUGUGAUCGUUCAAGGGACGUUAACUGACAAGGUUGUUUCAGUAUAAAAAAUGUGUGUAUCCACUCUCAAACGGUGGUGGUAUGUACAAAAUGGCAAACCAUGUUAAUGCCAAUCGACGGUGGUCACUUGUGAUUGAUGGAGGAACCCGUAUGGUUUUUGGUGAGUCAUAUAAGACAAACAGUUUUCAUCUGUAACCCUAUGGUUUCUGGUGGGUAGGAUCUUACUGAAGGAUUCAAGGAUAUCAACUACUAAAAAUUGAAAGUGA